GACGUAAGUAAAUAAAUAAAUUGUCAUAAAUUAUUAAAUUAAACGUUUUGAUUUUAAACAAACAUUAUUUAGACACAAAUGAUCAGUCACUGUGGAUAGAAGUAAAUUAAAUUAUUAUCUUUGAUUCAAAUAAACGUCAUAACAAAAAUGAUUGAUUCAAAUAAAGAAAAUCAAGACGAUUUAAAUACAGUAGAAAAUCCUACAAAGAAUGUUGCAGAUACAGAAAAUAUACCAGUUACUGAAAGAGCUUUAAAAAUUAAUAACUUAGUAGAAAUAUGCAAAAGCAAUGCAACUUUUUUCGCAAGAGAUAACACUGAAAACGGUCAAAGACUCUAUCUGUCUUUUCUUGCCAUGGUAGAUGUUGUAGACAGGAUUCAACCAAAGCUUAUUUCUAUAGAAAGUCAAGUACAUUUUUUUGAUUUUGAUGAAAGUGUUCCGGGAAAUGGAUACAGAAGUUUUCUUAUUGUGAUUGAUGGAGCUAUUCAAAUGGCUGUUGAGUGUUCUGAAAAAGUGUUACAGAAAAGGGAUAGUACGUUUUUUCGUAAAAGUACUUUAACUAAGGACGUUGAAUCUUGUUCACACCUUUUAACCAGUUUAGAUAGUUGUCUAACACACUUAGGGACAAUAAUGUCAUGGAGUGAAAGAGGCAGUCUUUUUGUUAACGAAGACUGUCCAUUAGGUGACUUAUUUUCAAAAUAUGGAGAGAUUAAUCAACAUUGUUUCUAUGGAAGAAAUUUGGGAUUUCAGUAUUGCGAUUCAAUACGGAAUGUCUUACAAUUCAUAGCCUUAUCAAUGACUUUGUUUUCUGAAGUAUACUACAGCCAAGGAUCAUUGAUUAGCAAAGCGACCAGUUCAGUAGUGUCCACGACAAAAUUUAUAACCGAUCCGGAACAAAGAGCUAGAAGAAUUGUAAAUAUCGCCCAGAACGCUGAAGUGGACUUCUGCAAAGCCUUUUGGUUUCUAUCCGAGACGGAACUUAUGAACCAACUGCCUUCUAUCGUUUCUCCUAGCGUAGCCAUUUCUAAGAUGAUACAAAUUCCUCCAGAACCUAUCGUCAUGGAAACUCUCGAUGGAAAUACUUAUGAAGUACCAGUGCCUUCUUCCUUUAUAGGUCGAAAAUCAGUACAAGUUCGAUUGAUAAGCCACAAGGUUCGAGAAGGAAUGUUAGGAACCAGAGGAAGGUCAGUGGAGCCCCCUUCGAAGGGCCUAAUGAUUCAUUGUCAUGGGGGCGGAUUCGUAGCUCAAUCGUCAAAAUCACACGACGGAUACCUCAGGGAUUGGGCGAAACAGUUGGACAUUCCUAUACUAUGCAUCGAUUACAGUUUAGCGCCUGAAGCUCCUUUUCCGAGGGCUUUAGAAGAAGUCCUUUACGCUUAUUGUUGGGCCAAGAAACAUCAUGAUUUUCUGGGGAGUACAGGUGAAAUUAUUAUCGGGGCAGGAGAUUCUGCGGGAGCAAACUUACUACUUAGUACAACAUUAAAAUGUAUCAAAGAAAAUAUUCCUACGAUGGCCGGGUUAUUUAUAGCAUACGUACCUACUUUAGUACAUUACAUACCGUCGCCAGCGAGACUUCUGUGUAUGAUGGAUCCUUUAAUACCGUUCGGAUUCUUAUUGAGAUGUUUAAAAGCUUACGCUUGUCCGGAUCCUCAUAUGAAACAGGUAUCUAACGAUAACGAUAAUUCUGAUACCGAGAGUUUCGAAGAAAUUACUGAAUCCGAUUUAAUGGCCUUGCAAGCUCACAAAUCGCCAGUUUCAGAAAUCUCGGAUUCUAUGACCUACGAAUCUUUGGCGUCCAAUGAACAGAAUAAUUGUGAAAACGUAAGCACUAAUCCUCAACCACUAAUGAACGAGAUUUUGGAACGAUAUGUACAAGAUCAACUUCCAAAAGAAGGUAGUAGUGCCGAUCAAGUAGCUAGUAGUCCGUCUUUAACAAACACAAACUCAUUGCAGUCCAGAGUUACUGGUUUUGUAUCAAAUUUAAAGGAUUCUUUUACAAAAUAUUUAGCUUAUUUUUUAGGUGACAGAUCGGUUAGUGAGGCACAAAAAAUUUUGGACUUAGAUGUUGACCCACACCUAAAUAUUUUGGAUAAGUUGGGUUUCGAAGUACCGAGAGACCCGUAUUUAAGCCCGAUUUAUGCUUCAGAAGAGGAUUUAAAGAGAUUUCCACCCACACGCGUAUUGACAGUUGAAAUGGAUCCCUGCCUAGAUGACUGCAUAAUGUUUGCUAAAAGACUUAAAAGUGCGGGAAUAGAUGUAAAUUUAGAUAUUUUGAGCGGCCUACCGCAUGGUUUUUUAAAUUUCUCAUUGUUUUCAAAAGAAGCCUACGAAGGUUCGAAGGUUUGCAUCAAGCGAAUUGAAGAACUGUUGAAAGCGAACAACAGUAAUAACUAGACAAUACUGUACCCCGUUUGAGAUUAAAUUUUUUAUAGAUCUGUCCAAAUACAGAAAAGUAUUAUUCUAUUGCAUUAGAGAAAGAUGGAAACAAUUGGGAGAAAUAUACGUUCAUGAGUGGAUGGAAAAUGGUUGACGAAGAAGAAGACCAUAAAAGACAUUUACUGUAAGUCUUAUCGGAAUAGAAGCGUCGCUAUAUUUCUAAAUAAAUUAAGAAGUCUAACAUUCAUUCAAUUAAUUCAAGAUAUACAUAGUUUUUUGACGAAAUGUAGUUACUUUCUGACAUGGUGGUCAGACUUAACUAAGUAGUUUGUCGGACUACUGAAUUUCCUCAUUAACCCCCUAACGUGGAAAUAUUGUGGAUAAAUUAAAGUGGAAAUAUUGUGUUUAUGUAUAAUUAAAUUGAAAAAAAAUAUUUUCAGUGUCAUAGCACCUUUAUUUUAUCUGGGGAUGAGGCGAGUUAAUAAAUUAUAUUUUGUUCAUAAUAUAUUUAAAUAAUCUAUAUAAAAUCUAUAUAUAAGGCAUAAAAUAGUUCUAACAAUAGAAAAACACGAUUCACUUCAGACUGCUUCAAUGCACUAACGCUUUGUAUAAAAACAAAAUAAUGAAAAUUCAACAAAAUUCAAUUCGUAUCGAUUGUCAAUGGUUCGGACUGCAAGUUAUUAGAAAAUAAAUCUCAUUUUACAAUUUCUUAACACUGGCUGGACAAUAAAAAACGGUAUCUAUGUACCGCUGUUUAUUACACUAACACUAACGCUUCGAAUAAAAACAAUUUUUUUACAAUUCAACACAAUUCAAUGUAUCAAUUGUCAAUGGUUCCUUCUGCAAAUUAUUAGAUAAAUAAAUAUCAUUUUACAAUGACAACACAGUCUUGGCAA
rnacentral:misc_RNA from 1 species